GAGUUUGAUCCUGGCUCAGGACGAACGCUGGCGGCGCGCCUAACACAUGCAAGUCGAACGGAGCUUAGAGAGCUUGCUUUUUAAGCUUAGUGGCGAACGGGUGAGUAACGCGUGAGUAACCUGCCCUAGAGUGGGGGACAACAGUUGGAAACGACUGCUAAUACCGCAUAAGCCCACGGAUCCGCAUGGAUCUGCGGGAAAAGGAUUUAUUCGCUUCAGGAUGGACUCGCGUCCAAUUAGCUAGUUGGUGAGGUAACGGCCCACCAAGGCGACGAUUGGUAGCCGGACUGAGAGGUUGAACGGCCACAUUGGGACUGAGACACGGCCCAGACUCCUACGGGAGGCAGCAGUGGGGGAUAUUGCACAAUGGGGGAAACCCUGAUGCAGCGACGCCGCGUGGAGGAAGAAGGUUUUCGGAUUGUAAACUUCUGUUAUAAAGGAAGAACGGCGGCUACAGGAAAUGGUAGCCGAGUGACGGUACUUUAUUAGAAAGCCACGGCUAACUACGUGCCAGCCGCCGCGGUAAUAC
rnacentral:rRNA from 1 species